CGCCGACUCGGCCCGCUGAGCGGCCGGUCUGCCUGCCAAUCACGCCGCACCUCCGCCAAUCACAGAGCGCCUCGGCGGCUACAGCCUACGGGCCCAUGGCGCGGCCUAGCUUGAGGACGCCGGGAGGGCGGGUCCGGCCCGCCCACUGCGAAAGUUUCCGAGCUAACUCGGGCAGUGCUGUCCAGACCGAACCCUUGCACGCCACGCCACACCCACAGGGCGUCCGGGUUGCUGUGCCCGGCUGCAAGCCCACGGGCGAGGCUCAAGACGACCUUUCACCCACUACUCUGGCCCCAGGCUCCCCAACUUCAGAUUUAUUAUCAUUGCUCUUGCAAUAUUAACUGACACGGGAGUGGUGCAAGGAUGAGGCAGUCUGGAAACCCUCUUCUUUCGGUCCUUCUCUGGGGUCUGAGCCUGAAGAAGGAAAUGAUAACCCACUUCAGUAUUCUUGCCAGGAGAAUUCCGUGGACAAAGGAGCCUGGUGCCCCACCUCUGUCCCAUCGCCAUCUUCUCAUGUGACCCUGUGAGGCCCACAGAAGAACGAAGGAGCCGGGCAUCCAGCAGCACUUGCUUUGCUCCAGGCUCAGUUUGGGGGCUUUCACAUGUUUUUCAUUUCACCCCCAAUAACCCUGUGAGGCAGGUAGCAUUGGGUUCAUCUUUCUUGAUGAGAAGAUUGAGGCUCAGGCAUAGAAGGUUUAUUUGUCCAGAGUCAUACAGAAUUCUUUCCCCCAUACAGUAUACUAAUUACAGAAAACUUGGAGGAUUACACAAAAUAGAACAAAGAAAAAAACCACAGGCUGUUACUGUUCACAUUUUGUAAUGGUUUAUGCAUAUUUAAGGAAGGGUUUCCAGAAAUCACUGUGGUUACACUGCGCGUGUUGGUGCAUGUGUGUGUGCCUUAGGGCAGGGGUCCCCAACCCCGGGCAGGGGUCCCCAACCCCCAGGGGACCAAUACCGCUCAAUGGCCUGUUAGGAAUCAGGUUGCACAACAGGAGGUGAGUGGUGGGCGACCAAGCAAAGCUUCAUCUACCACUUAUCAUUGCUCCCCAUCAUUCGUGUUACUGCCUGAACCAUCCCCCCAACCACCCAUCCAUGGAAAAAUUGUCUUCUAAGAAACUGGUCCCUGGUUCCAAAAAGGCUGGGGGCCAAGGCACUAGGGCAAAGCCCUAGAAGCAGAAUCCCUAGAUUCUGAGAGGAUUCUUCACAUCUAUAGAUACAUUUUUUCUGAAACAGGCUUCUCAAAGUUACUUCCAGUGUAUCUCCAAGGGGCACACACUAACUUCGGGAAUUAUUUAUUUUUUACCCUUGCCUAAUAUGGUAAGUGGAAAAUGGUUUCUUUGUGAUUGCAAUCUGCAUUUCCAUGGUAACUCAGAGGCUGGACAUUAUAUAUUGCUUAAUUUUGAAAAGCAUUCACUCUCUCAUUUAUCUAUUGGGAGCUUAGAGGCUCUUUGAAAACGAAUCAGAUGAGUUUCUUUUAUUUCUAACCCAAAGAUGGGUAUCUUCGAAGGAGGAAAAGGCAAGCUGCUUUGGAAUUCUUGCUGGGAAAAUGCCAUGGACAGAGGAGCCUGGCGGGCUGCUCCCUGUGGGGUUGUAAAGAGUU